AUCUCUCCUUUCUAGACACUCUCCCUUCUUCUUUCUCUCUCAUCUCUUUUACUUUCAUCUCGCUUUGUUCCUUUUCCCAUUCUCUCAAAAUGUCAUGGCUUUCUUAUUAAGAAGGCACCAUAAGGUCGCCGGGUUGAUAAGGAAUCAAUGAUGUCCCCCACUAUUCGUCUUCAUCAUCAUUGCAUCUUCCCUCCCGAACCCGUGCGUACGCAC
rnacentral:lncRNA from 1 species